GGAAACACUUUAGUUUACACUCUGCCCAACAUGGAGGAGGACAACGCUGCCGCGGCUCUUGAUAGCAUUGUGACUGAAUUUCAUUCGUAUGAAGAUUUUCUUGAUUCUCAGAUUACUUCUUUGGAUCUAUACUAUCUAGAGGAUGAGGAGUUGGCACGCCACCUGGUGGAGCUGGGAUACAGAGGCAGCGGGGAGGUGCUCAAGAGGGAGGAGUUUGAGACCAGGAAGGCCGCCGCCGAAGCUUCCCGCCUCAACAAGAGGAGCCAGAGACAGACGUUGGCAAGCGCAGGAAAGGAGCUCAAAGAUAACUUCCUGAAGGCACUGGCGGAGCGCGAGGAGGCCAACCGCAGCGCCAGGAUGACUUUUCUACAACUGGGAGACACAGGUGUCCACCUCAAAUGCUAGCGCCAAUUACCAGGUGAUAGCAGAAAACUCCACUGGACUGCUCUUCAAAAACAAACAAGAUCGUAAAAUUCUCAACGUAGACCCCAAGGCUUCCCCUGGUGAUAACUCUUCCAGAACCCCCCUGCAGUCGGACCUCUACACUCAAGUCGUCAUCUAUGACCACAUCACCCGGAGGAAAACCUAGAGCCAAUGGCCGGCCAGCACUCUGCAAUUAAAGCCCUGUUAAACCCA